rnacentral:rRNA from 1 species
UGCAGUCGAGCGGUAACAGGGGUAGCUUGCUACCCGCUGACGAGCGGCGGACGGGUGAGUAAUGCAUGGGUAUCUGCCCGGUAGUGGGGGAUAACUCGGGGAAACCCGAGCUAAUACCGCAUACGUCCUACGGGAGAAAGCAGGGGAUCUUCGGACCUUGCGCUAUCGGAUGAGCCCAUGUCGGAUUAGCUUGUUGGUGAGGUAACGGCUCACCAAGGCGACGAUCCGUAGCUGGUCUGAGAGGAUGAUCAGCCACACCGGGACUGAGACACGGCCCGGACUCCUACGGGAGGCAGCAGUGGGGAAUAUUGGACAAUGGGGGAAACCCUGAUCCAGCCAUGCCGCGUGUGUGAAGAAGGCCUUCGGGUUGUAAAGCACUUUCAGUGGGGAAGAAGGCAUGAUGAUUAAUACUCGUCAUGAAGGACAUCACCCACAGAAGAAGCACCGGCUAACUCCGUGCCAGCAGCCGCGGUAAUACGGAGGGUGCAAGCGUUAAUCGGAAUUACUGGGCGUAAAGGGCGCGUAGGCGGCUUGCCAAGCCGGAUGUGAAAGCCCCGGGCUCAACCCGGGAACGGCAUUCGGAACUGGUAGGCUAGAGUGCAGGAGAGGAAGGUGGAAUUCCCGGUGUAGCGGUGAAAUGCGUAGAGAUCGGGAGGAAUACCAGUGGCGAAGGCGGCCUUCUGGACUGACACUGA